GGCGUAUUUCAGCUAUGAACUCUUAACGGGUUAUCAGUCGAGUUGCGUCGUGUACUUGUCGCAACGUUUCAGUGGACUGCGUAUCAAUCAUCGCCUGAAGAUAAUGGAUACGCAAUCCAUUGAAACCUUGCGACUAGAAGACGACGCCACUCGGUUGAUACUCCGUGAAGAUUUCAUGUAUGUCUAUCGUUUUCGAUACAACGCGUACACGUCAUAAUGACGUCAGUCCUGAUUCCGUCAACGUGGAGUAAGACUCCAGCGCCAGGCGUUUUACUGGCGUGAUACACUCCGUGUAUGGACAUAUUUUUAUUUCUAGAUUUUUUUAAAUUUUCUUUCAGGACUAUAAUCCCAAGCGAAGAUAUUUUAUAAGCCCCAAUAAAAUGACUGCCAUUUUGAAUGUGGCCUAAACUCGAUACUGCGUUUUUACGGUACGACAAAUUUCUUUGGAGCGACUGCAACGAUUCAGACAGAACUGAAGGUCAUUUGUUAAGGCAAUCACUUCGAUGGGAGUGGCUGUGUUGGUACUAAAUAGGAGGGCGCUGUUGUGCGGAAGUUUUGCAGUGCUGCACAAUUUGACAGACAGUCGUUAAGUGGCGUCUGCUGUAUAGCAUUGUGUAGAAGGCCUGUGUAGCGCAUCGCAUAGGUUGUCAAGCUGCCUGAAAGCAGGAACAAAAGGUGGUGUUUCAGGCUUGACUCAAAUGCCAUACGUUCUAGUUAGAGGGAAUCUCGCAUCUUACGGACAGAGGCAGCCUUGGAGAGUCCUAGUGUCUGGAUUAAAAGCUGGAAAUGGCCACUCAACUUUCGCAACCUAAUGAUUUAAAGAUGGAAGACCUGCCAUCAUACCUGUAUGUGGCAGUUAAAGGCUCAUUACAUGCUAAUGACUGUUCAGUCUUCGGACUAAAUUGUGAUGAAAUACAGGCACUCACAAAACGUUACCAGAACACCUCUGCAGAGACGCUUAAUGGAGUUAUAAUAAAAGGUACUGCUGCUUAUUAGAAAUGUGCUAUUAUUUACAUCAACUGGAAAUGGCUGAUAAACAAAGAACAUUUAGUACUACAUAAGCAAUUGUCAAUGUUUAAGUGAAUUGUACAGAAAUUGUAAAGAUUAUUGUUGAAGAAAAUAAAUUUGUGUUUAGUGUAUGUGGCAGAUUUAACCUAGACUAUAAAAUUGUUAACUUCUAAAAAUGAUUUUUUUGGUUUCUAAAUAUGAGAAAAUCUAAUGUCCUUCCUGUUGUUAAGAGUUUGUCUGUUUUUUGACUUGUCUGAACUGCAAGACCUACUACAUGCACAAUUAUUCACAAUAUCUGGGUAUGUAAAAUUAACACACAAUCAUAGAUGCUAUCUCUGGUUAAAUGGUUUGCUUGAAAUACAAUAUACACAUAGUGUGUGGUUUAAAUGGUUUAAAAUGGAAGAAAAGCUUACCUUUACACAAAUCUGCUAUGUUACCUAUUUAACAUGAACAACUGAUACAGUCUGUAAUUUGUCAUUUUGGUAUGUGUGUAUACUUUGGCGCAAAGAAAUAUACUGCCAAAAAAGUUGAUGCUAUGCAAGAACAAAAAAUGUAUGUUAUUUUCAACAAGUAAGGAAAAUACUGGAAUUAAGUGUAUAGAAGAGUUCAAUUUAAACUUCUUGUAAGGACCACUUAAAUGAAUUUAUAGUUUUGUUUGUUGGAUUAAUUGUUAAGAAUAAUUAUUAAAAUGAAGCUUAUUGUAAUUUAAUGUUUGUACAUUAUAAUUGUAGAAUGUUUGUAUAAUUGAUUAUUCAAUGAGUUACUUUUUAUACUCUUCCAUACUCUGAUACAAAUUGGUAAUAAAAAAUUUGGUAUUAUCA